rnacentral:rRNA from 1 species
GAUGAACGCUGGCGGCGUGCCUAAUACAUGCAAGUCGAGCGAACGGAUGAGAAGCUUGCUUCUCUGAUGUUAGCGGCGGACGGGUGAGUAACACGUGGAUAACCUACCUAUAAGACUGGGAUAACUUCGGGAAACCGGAGCUAAUACCGGAUAAUAUUUUGAACCGCAUGGUUCAAAAGUGAAAGACGGUCUUGCUGUCACUUAUAGAUGGAUCCGCGCUGCAUUAGCUAGUUGGUAAGGUAACGGCUUACCAAGGCAACGAUGCAUAGCCGACCUGAGAGGGUGAUCGGCCACACUGGAACUGAGACACGGUCCAGACUCCUACGGGAGGCAGCAGUAGGGAAUCUUCCGCAAUGGGCGAAAGCCUGACGGAGCAACGCCGCGUGAGUGAUGAAGGUCUUCGGAUCGUAAAACCCUGUUAUUAGGGAAGAACAUAUGUGUAAGUAACUGUGCACAUCUUGACGGUACCUAAUCAGAAAGCCACGGCUAACUACGUG